rnacentral:rRNA from 1 species
GACGAACGCUGGCGGCGUGCUUAAUACAUGCAAGUCGAGCGGACCCAGCAGAUUGUCUCUGGUUUCCAGAGACAAACUGCGACGGUUAGCGGCGAACGGGUGAGUAACGCGUGGGUAAUCUGCCCCCAAGACCGGGAUAACAGUGCGAAAGCGCUGCUAAUACCGGAUAAUCUCUUCUUGUCGCAUGAUAGGGAGAGCAAAGCUCCGGCGCUUGGGGAUGAGCCCGCGUUCCAUUAGCUAGUUGGUGAGGUAACGGCUCACCAAGGCGACGAUGGAUAGCCGGCCUGAGAGGGUGACCGGCCACACUGGGACUGAGACACGGCCCAGACUCCUACGGGAGGCAGCAGUAGGGAAUUUUCGGCAAUGGGGGAAACCCUGACCGAGCAACGCCGCGUGGGGGAAGAAGGCCUUCGGGUUGUAAACCUCUGUCUUUGGGGACGAUAAUGACGGUACCCGAGGAGGAAGCCCCGGCUAACUACGUGCCAGCAGCCCGCGGUAAUACGUANGGGGCGAGCGUUUGUCCGGAAUCACUGGCCGUAAAGGGCGUGUAGGCGGCCUGUUAAGUCAGGCGUGAAAACCCCGGCUUACCUGGGGACUGCGCUUGAAACUGCGGGC